rnacentral:lncRNA from 1 species
GAUUUUUUUGUUAUUGCUAGUAUUUCCAAUACAAUACUGAAUAAUAUUGGUGAUAAUAUGCAUCUUUGUUUCACACAUUCGAUCUUAUUGAGAAGACUUUCAGUUUAUCCCCUUUAUGAAUAAUACUUUUUUAUGGUUUUAGGUUGUUGCUUAUCAUUUUGAGGAAAAAUUCACUUAUAUCUAUGCUUUACAGUGUGGUUUUUUUAAAAAUUAGGAAUGAGUGUUAUAUUUUGUUAAAAAAAAAAAUUAAAAAAAACCUUCUUUGGCAGCUGCUACAUGGUGCAGUAAAUAGCUCACUGGUCCUCCUGACUUCAGGGCUGGUACUCUAUCCAUCAGUGUUUAAGGAUUUUAAAAGGAACUAAUCGGUUUCCAUAAGUUUUGGUAUAUUGUCUUACUGUUUUUUCUUUAAAUAAAAAUAUUUGUUUCUAUGAUUUAUUUUUUGACCCACUCAUUCUUUAAGAUUAAGGUAUUUCAUUUCAAAUUAAUUUUUAAUGUUUUUUCAUGGCCCUUUAUAAUUUUUAUUGCAUUAUUAUCUUAAAAUAUUUCUUCUUUUCUGCAUUUGACUAUAUGGUUUUUAAUGCCUUAAGAUGUGGUCAAUUUUUGUAAAGUUGUGAUGUACCUCUAAGAAAAAGAUAUAGUCUUUUUUAUUCCCAUUCAAUUCUCUCCAGAUGUCUAUCAUAUUUAGCUUAUCUAAGAUUUAUCAUCAUCUUGACUUUUUCCUUAUUUUUUGGUUAGAGUUAUCUAAAUUUUGAAGGUUUUAACCUUUUAGUUUUGCUAUUUAUUUCUACCUAUAAUAACUUUUUCUUCAAAAAUCUGGGUGCUAUAGUAUGUGGGGCAUAUGUUUAGUAUUGAUAUUCUUUAUAGUACCUUUUAUCAGAAUUUAAUUUCCCUGUUUGUUUUUUAAAUUAAUUCUACUUUAGCUUUAAAUGUGUUUGAGUCAUUAUUGUUACCUCUGCUUUUUAAAUUUUGUGUCAGCUGAAACAUAAAAAAUUCUGUUCCAGCCCUUUAUUUUUACUCUAGAUAUAGCUCUCAUUUUAAAAUUUUGUCUCUUGUAAACAACAUAUUGUUUGAUUCUAGGUUUUGAUCCAUUUUGCUAUCCAUUUUCCAUUUUGUGGCAGUUUUUCCCAUUCACAUUCAAUUAUAAUUACUAGUCAUGUAUUUCCCUACAUCUCAUUUAAUGAGAUGUAUUUAAUCUUUUUACCCUAUCCCUCUUUUGACAUCUAAUUUACUUUUGACCUCUGCUUCCCUAAUCUGCACCUCUUCUAAAAAUCUCUCCCUUAUUGUCCUAUUCCUUAAUGCCCAUCCUUCUGUGUCCCUUCCUUAUGCCUCUCCUUAACCUGUUAUUUCUUCAUCUGCAUGUCCUAAGACUACCUCCCUCCCUUAUCAUAUCCUUGCACUCUAUUUCUCUAUAAGAUUUUUACACUCUUGUAGAUGUAUGUUAUAUGUUAUAUUUAACCCAGUUCUGAUGAAAAGAACAUUCCAGA